GAUGACGUCACACACUGUAAUACUGUCAGAGGUACUGCUUUACGGCAGUUUCUAAAGCACUUCCCUUGUCCCGCAACGAUAACACCAGCUGUUGGAGUCGGACCUUGAUGCUGUGACAACGGACAAGUCUUCUUCCUCUGUCCUUUUCCCCUGCCUCUGUUCAGUAUGUUCAGUGUUGUUAAAUCAUUUCUCUUUUCUUUUAUAAGUUACUGUUCUUAUUGUGUUCUUGUUAGUGUAAUGUUUGAAUAAACUUGCCUGUUGCAAUGUUGGUAUAAUGUUUGUAUAAUUACUGUUAUACAACUGUUACUGUUUCAAUGUGACCCAGACCAUAUUUCUCAUUUAACAAACAUGUGUAGCUUAUAAUGUGUUGCAUGGCAGAGCAAUUACGGUAUAU